CCAUUGAUGAAGAAGUGAGGAAAUCAACCUAUCCUUGAAUCUUGGCAUCAGGUGACAUUGCAUCCUUGGACCCAUUGUACAUUGCUGCCGUGGGGCAAAUUUAGUUGCGUUUUGCUGGUAAAAAUAUUCCACAUACUUAUUGCCACAUUCCAUGUUCUAAAUAUGGAAUACACUCCAGGUGUUUCGAGUGUUUAUGCAUUUCUAGAAUCUAGAACCUUAAACCGCCCUGCUGAUGCCGAGAACAAAAUUUCUGUACAACAACUUUUAAGUGAGCUUGGACUCCGAAAUUAAUCGUGAUAAAUACUUAGUUCAUAUAAAUUCAUGCAUGUUAAAGGUAUUUCUUGUCAGCGAGUAAUUUAUAAUAAUAACCAAUUUUGAACCUAUAUUUCUCUUUUGUGUGUGUCUUAAUGUGCCUG